GAUGAACGCUGGCGGCGUGCCUAAUACAUGCAAGUCGAACGGGGAGUAGCAAUACUCUUAGUGGCGAACGGGUGAGUAACGCGUUGGUACCUGCCCCGAAGCGGGGGAUAACGGACCGAAAGGUCCGCUAAUACCCCAUGUGCUCGGUAACGAGUAAAGGUGAAAACCACUUUGGGAGGUGCCUGCGUCCCAUCAGCUAGUUGGUAAGGUAACGGCUUACCAAGGCGAUGACGGGUAGGGGACCUGAGAGGGUGGCCCCCCACAAUGGAACUGAAACACGGUCCAGACACCUACGGGUGGCAGCAGUAGGGAAUAUUGGGAAUGGGCGCAAGCAUGAACCAGCAACGCCGCGUGUGCGAUGACGGCCUUCGGGUUGUAAGGCACUUUUGACUGGGACGAGGAAGGACGGUACCGGUCGAAUCAGCCUCGGCUAACUACGUG
rnacentral:rRNA from 1 species